CGGAAAAACAGGCUGUUGCCUCGGCUCAUGUUGCCCUAAAUGAGAAGAAAAUGAAGCAGGUGUUGCCUGAGAAAGCUAAUUUAUCUUCACAAGAUGUACUAUCAUCUACCAUAUGUGAUGGUCGUGCCAAAAAGCCAAAAUAUACUGGCAGAAUAUCCAAAAGUGGUUGAUAAGAGAUAACCGAAAAGGAAAUAGAAUUCACACCGGAACUAUUUCUCUUGGGCAUUAUAAACAAGAAAUACAACAAGGGGCUUAUCUUUUUAACUAUUCAUGGCAGCAAGAAUGGUCUUUGCCCAAA